rnacentral:lncRNA from 1 species
CGCGGACUACGCCACCUCGCAGAGUUCCGACGCUCUGGCCACUGCCUCCGUCUGUUUUGUUCUCUCCGGUCCAGAGAGUGCGGAGACUUCCGGGGAGCGAACGUGUACGGGUUUCCAGAGUAACCCCGACAACAGGCAGUGAGAUGGCAGCUCUGAGCAGCUUGCUCUAGAACCAACUGUGCGUCCUCCACUUGGACCAAUACCAAUGGGAGAAGCUGGCCAAGCUCUGAGAAGCCGUGCACACCCAAGGAGCAGAGAUGCCAUGGCUUUUUGGUGGUAUUGGCAGGAUGAUACCAGAGGCUAAAUGAUAAGAGCUGAAUGAAUUCUCCAGAUGCCAGAAUGCCAGAAGGAUUGGGGACCUGGAGAGGAGAGAGGAGGAGAGUGGAGGAUGCAGGGCCUCCUCUCUCCAUAGAAGCAAAGAAUAGCAGUGGCCAGAGAGGCUUUGGGAAAGAUCUCCACUCUAUCAAUCAAUGUGGAAGCAAUAUAAGAAAUCACAGAAGGCAAAACCUGG